AGUGCAAUUGCUGGGUCAUAUGGUAGUUUCACAUUUAGCUUUUUAAGAAGCUGCCAAACUGUUUUCCAGAGUAGCUCUAUCAUUUACAUUCCCACUAGUGAU
rnacentral:pre_miRNA from 1 species